UACACUCCUGCGGGAGGCAGCAGUGGGGAAUUUUGGCCAAUGGGCGAAAGCCUGAUCCAGCCAUGCCGCGUGCAGGAUGAAGGCCUUCGGGUUGUAAACUGCUUUUGUACGGAACGAAACGGCCUUUUCUAAUAAAGAGGGCUAAUGACGGUACCGUAAGAAUAAGCACCGGCUAACUACGUGCCAGCAGCCGCGGUAAUACGUAGGGUGCAAGCGUUAAUCGGAAUUACUGGGCGUAAAGCGUGCGCAGGCGGUUAUGUAAGACAGUUGUGAAAUCCCCGGGCUCAACCUGGGAACUGCAUCUGUGACUGCAUAGCUAGAGUACGGUAGAGGGGGAUGGAAUUCCGCGUGUAGCAGUGAAAUGCGUAGAUAUGCGGAGGAACACCGAUGGCGAAGGCAAUCCCCUGGACCUGUACUGACGCUCAUGCACGAAAGCGUGGGGAGCAAACAGGAUUAGAAACCCCGGUAGUCCCA
rnacentral:rRNA from 1 species